AAUAAAUAAAUAUACCGACCGUCCCUAGAGUAAGUGGCAAAGGACUUGGUGGUUGGUACCCGAGACCCAAGUUCGAAUCCUAGUUGAUUCACAUUUCCAGCUAAAUUUAUUUCUAAAUGAAAUAAACGAAUCGGGUAGCAUGCUAUCUAUCUCUCAAAAAAAAUAAAAAUAAAUAAAUAAUUAUUAUAUAAUAUUUAUUUAUUUAUUUAUGGUGAAAAUUGCAAGAUAAGAGUAUGUGAUAGCAUAUAU
rnacentral:lncRNA from 1 species